UACGUAGGGGGCUAGCGUUGUCCGGAAUCAUUGGGCGUAAAGCGCGCGUAGGCGGUCAGGUAAGUCCGGUGUGAAAGUCAAAGGCUCAACCUUUGAAUGCCGCUGGAUACUGCUUGACUUGAGUCCGGAAGGGGCGAGUGGAAUUCCUGGUGUAGCGGUGAAAUGCGCAGAUAUCAGGAGGAACACCAAUGGCGAAGGCAGCUCGCUGGAACGGUACUGACGCUGAGGCACGAAAGCCAGGGGAGCAAACGGG
rnacentral:rRNA from 1 species